AUCGCUUCUCAGCUUUUUGGCUAAGAUCAAAUGUAGUAUCUGUUCUUAUCAGUUUAAAAACUUUCCAGCCAGAAGAGAGAACAUCAAAAUAUAUUUUAUUAGCACUCUUUAGAGCAAGAACGAGGCUGUGUGCCCCCAUGUAGGAAGUUGCUUAUGUUUCAUAGUUACACAAUUAGUAUGUGGAAAUGGAAACUGAA
ensembl:snRNA U2 U2 spliceosomal RNA